GACGAACGCUGGCGGCGUGCUUAACACAUGCAAGUCGAACGGAAAGGCCCUGCUUUUGUGGGGUGCUCGAGUGGCGAACGGGUGAGUAACACGUGCGUCACCUGCCCUUGACUUUGGGAUAACUUCAGGAAACUGGGGCUAAUACCGGAUAGGAGCUCCUGCUGCAUGGUGGGGGGUGGAAAGUUUCGGCGGUUAGGGAUGGACACGCGGCUUAUCAGUUUGUUGGUGGGGUAGUGGCGUACCAAGGCUUUGACGGGUAGCCGGCCUGAGAGGGUGACCGGCCACAUUGGGACUGAGAUACGGCCCAGACUCCUACGGGAGGCAGCAGUGGGGAAUAUUGCACAAUGGGCGGAAGCCUGAUGCAGCAACGCCGCGUGCGGGAUGACGGCCUUCGGGUUGUAAACCGCUUUCGCCUGUGACGAAGCGUGAGUGACGGUAAUGGGUAAAGAAGCACCGGCUAACUACGUG
rnacentral:rRNA from 1 species